rnacentral:lncRNA from 1 species
AUGUCUUAUCUAAAACACAGAAAGCAAAUGGCUCAGAGCCUGGUUAAAGAUGAAGUCUUUAUUGCUGGUAAUGGAUGGAUCAAGGUACCAUAUAAAACGGAGACUGACAAUCUUGGAGGGAGUCAUGCGGAAGACUGCCAAGGCAAGCAUCCUGCACCCACUUGCUUGACUGCCCAACCCUCUUUUGCCCUCAGCCUUGGGCAUUUGGACCAAGAAAGGGAAUUUGUGCCCCAAUCGCAAAUGGGGUGACUGAGCUAGCACAUUUUUUCCCUCUGGGAUUCAUCAGCUGGACAAUACAAUGUAUUCUGAGUUAGGAGACACAUUUCUAACCCUCACUUUACUAUAUUAAAUGUCAAUGCCCAUUUUAAAGCAUAAAGCAUUGUGUUCAUGAUGUACAAAUCUUUGCAAGUUCAGGCAGCAGGCCAAUUGUAGUCCAGCAGGUGGCAAGGACAAGAAGGAAGGAGGGGGUGUUUGUUGAGUGCCAAGUUGGUGUCAAACACUGUGCUGAACAUUUUCAUCUGUCAUUCCCCUCACUGCAUCAUCCUAGGCUCCCAUUUGAAAGGGAAGGAAAUCUUUUCAUUCCAGAAAGGAGAAUGGUUUCUUUGUCAUCCUUUGUUCAGGUCAAAGCAGAGGCACUGGAUAUUGGGCAAGCUAAAUAAUCUACAAAUUCCUCAGUAAUAAGCUCUGUCCCAGGAUUCAGACCUCCUCUUGAAGAUUCCCCCCUCUGGGUGCUCACAUUUUAAAGAGGGAUGCCUUUAACCACAUCCUGUCACUGCAGUGAUUCUCUUUCAUAACACUUCAUUUCGUGAGUCAUGGCACAUUAAGAAAUUAUUUUCAAUUAUUUUACUUACCUCCUAUCUUUCUGUUAGAGAGAAAGUACAGCUGUUUUAGAGCAGGAGUUGGCAAACUUUUCCUAUAAAGGGCCAGGUAGUAAAUAUUUUAGGCUCUGUGGACAAUGUGAUCUCUGCUGCACCUGCUGGACUGCUAUCCUCAAGUGAAAGCAGCCAUGGAUACCUGUAAAUGAAUGAGAACAUCUGUGUUCCAAUAAAACUUUAUUUACAAAAGCA